CAGGAACAGGAGCUGCAGGAGGGCGGUUCUGUCCUUCCGAGAAACAAGGCGUCCCCACCACGGCUGUGAGCCAGUGCCUGCCGCCCGACAGCCACAGCACUGUGGCACUGAGGACCAGCUUUCCCUGAAGUCCGCCUGCAUCAAACAGGUCUACCCCAUGCCUAGAUUGGCCAAAGACUCAGACCUUCCUCCCACUCUAACCACCGUCACCCUGGAGACCCACAGGAAGAGCUGUGAGCCCUGAAGGCAAUGCUUGCACCAUCCUUCCCCCACCUGGGCCAGGACUGCCACUGUCAGCUGCUGCUCCAGCCUCACGCUGAGCAUAGGGGACAUGGCCCAGAUGCAGCCACCACCCACUUGAUAUGGUUCCUGCCUGCCACGUGCCAUACCACUGCGGUCCAUGUUGGACAGGUGCAAUAUGAGGUCUAAGUCCCUCUGGCUCCAUUCUAGCCAGCACCAUGGCACCAACCUAACCACAGCCUGUGUGACAGUCCAGGAGGUCAACCAGUGCCACACCCUCUCCAUGCGGAGUUCAGCCUCCUCAGGUGGGGCUUCCUACUGAGAACUGCUCUACAUUUGGACUUCUGACUCCCCUCCCUGGCACUUGCUGGAGAGCACAGGAGGUGGGCUCCAGGGAGGAGACACCAUGUCUUGCUGUUCAGCUGGUACCUAGCGUGUGCUGGUGCAUAGCAAGUGCCCAAUCUAGAGAAUGAAUGAAUGCCGUGGUACACAACCACUCAUCUUUCCCAUAACUACAUUCAGUAGCUGUCCACUAGUUCCUCCCAUAAGUGAGGGACAGGACCAGCACCUAAGAUCUUUGGUUGCUUCUCUGUUGUACCCUGAAGACCCUCUCUCCUCCAAAAGGGAAAUCCACCCAGCUCUGUGUCCCAGCAGACUCCCCUGUAUGGACCACCCCGUCAGGCUCCCCUGUAUGGACCACCCCAUCAGGAUCCCCUGUAUGGACCACCCCGUCAGGUCCCCUGUAUGGACCACCCCGUCAGGCUCCCCGGCCCUCUGGCUGCCAAAGCCAUGAGAUCAGAGGGAGGAAGGAGUGAGGUCUAGGUUGAGGAUUCUCCCAGCUCCCUCUCUGCAGGCUACACACUGCCCGCCCCCUCCAACAGAGGCCACAGUCCCUGUCAGGCUGUCCCUAGUUUUGGCUCUGCCACUUGACAUUUUAAACCUCAAGGUGCUAAUGCCCAGGGCUCUGCACUAUCCCUUACGGUUUUCCUAUCUCCUACCCAAAUCUCCCCAUCAUUAAACUCCUCGACUUGCCUGGUACCCGCUGGGCCCCUGACGGAGCUGAUCCCAAAGUCUGAAGCUUGUCAAGAGGCAGAAGCACAGCCUGGGGAGGGAAUCCACAGUUGUCCCUGCUCAGCUUCCAGCCCGCAGAGGAUGGACGCCUUCUCCGGAUGGCUUCUCUUGGUUUUGGGAGCAGGGCGGCAAAGUCUUUUCAUUUCCCAAUUUUUAAAUUACUUUUCUGAAUAGUUAACACAUUCAGAUCGCUCAAAGGUCAAAAAAUACAGAAGAGUAGCUGCACUGGCGUCUCCUGCACCUCCGUCAGUGCAGGGUUGACGUGCCGUGCUGUCCCUCACAGGAGGACCUUGUCCCCUCCAGGCAGCUUCAGACCACGGCUCAGCACCAAACCCAGCCGCGGCCUGGCUCCCUGCAGUUCCCACUUGCUGUGCUUACUUCUAAGUGAGAGGUCCCACCUGCAACUGGGGAAGCUCUGCCUCGAUAAAGCCUCCAAGAGCCUGUGCCCUGGCUCACACCAGGGUGACCGGGAAACGCAGACAGCACUUAUGCCAAGCAACAGUUUCUUACACUCUGGGACCUCCAGGAAGUAGCAUCUGCCAAAUGCAAGGAUAACAUUUUCCUCUUCAUGCAGCAAGGUCUCUUCAGAUUAAACAAUGAUAAUAACCAAAAAACCAAAGCUUACCUUGGUUGGCAGUUUGCAAAUGUUUUGUCCUGUGUGAUCUAAUAAUGCACUAAAAUACGCUGUCAUAAAGCAAAAUCUUCAUAUGCAAACAAUACAUUAGCAGCUUGGCUAUUUAAUACUUUGCCGCAUAAGGCUCUCUACUGAGCGCACAAGUAAACAGAAGUCUGUCCCUUUUAGGAG
rnacentral:lncRNA from 1 species